CCCUUAGAUGUUCUGGGCUGCACGCGCGCUACACUGAUGCAUCCAGCGAGUUGUAACCUUGCUUGGUAAAGUUUGGUAAUCUGAGCCUAAUGUGCAUCGUGAUGGGAAUAGAGUUUUGCAACUAUUAGUCUUGAACGAGGAAUUCCUCGUAAGCACGAGUCAUCAGCUUGUGCUGAUUACGUCCCUGCCCUUUGUACACACCGCCCGUCGCUCCUACCGAUUUCGAGUGGUUCGGUGAACCUUUCGGACCGGCAAUGCCUCGUGUUGCGCCGGAAAGUCAAGUAAACCAUAUCACUUAGAGGAAGGAGAAGUCGUAACA
rnacentral:rRNA from 1 species